rnacentral:rRNA from 1 species
AGAGUUUGAUCAUGGCUCAGGACGAACGCUGGCGGCGUGCCUAAUACAUGCAAGUCGAACGAACGGAUAAGGAGCUUGCUCUUUUGAAGUUAGUGGCGGACGGGUGAGUAACACGUGGGUAACCUGCCUCACAGCUGGGGAUAACAUCGAGAAAUCGAUGCUAAUACCGAAUGUGCUGAACAUCAUAAGAUGUUCAAGUGAAAGACGGUUUCGGCUGUCACUGUGAGAUGGACCCGCGCUGGAUUAGCUAGUUGGUAAGGUAAUGGCUUACCAAGGCGACGAUCCAUAGCCGACCUGAGGGGGUGAUCGGCCACAUUGGGACUGAGACACGGCCCAAACUCCUACGGGAGGCAGCAGUAGGGAAUCUUCGGCAAUGGACGAAAGUCUGACCGAGCAACGCCGCGUGAGCGAAGAAGGCCUUCGGGUCGUAAAGCUCUGUUGUUAGAGAAGAACAUGGGUGAGAGUAACUGUUCACCCCUUGACGGUAUCUAACCAGAAAGCCACGGCUAACUACGUGCCAGCAGCCGAGGUAAUACGUAGGUGGCAAGCGUUGUCCGGAAUUAUUGGGCGUAAAGCGCGCGCAGGCGGUCUCUUAAGUCUGAUGUGAAAGCCCCCGGCUCAACCGGGGAGGGUCAUUGGAAACUGGGAGACUUGAGGACAGAAGAGGAGAGUGGAAUUCCAAGUGUAGCGGUGAAAUGCGUAGAUAUUUGGAGGAACACCAGUGGCGAAGGCGGCUCUCUGGUCUGUUACUGACGCUGAGGCGCGAAAGCGUGGGGAGCAAACAGGAUUAGAUACCCUGGUA